rnacentral:rRNA from 1 species
GAUGAACGCUGGCGGCGUGCCUAAUACAUGCAAGUAGAACGCUGAAGGAAGGAGCUUGCUCUUUCCGGAUGAGUUGCGAACGGGUGAGUAACGCGUAGGUAACCUGCCUGGUAGCGGGGGAUAACUAUUGGAAACGAUAGCUAAUACCGCAUAACAGUAGAUGUUGCAUGAUAUCUACUUAAAAGGUGCAAUUGCACCACUACCAGAUGGACCUGCGUUGUAUUAGCUAGUUGGUGAGGUAACGGCUCACCAAGGCGACGAUACAUAGCCGACCUGAGAGGGUGGUCGGCCACACUGGGACUGGGACACGGCCCAGACUCCUACGGGAGGCAGCAGUAGGGAAUCUUCGGCAAUGGACGGAAGUCUGACCGAGCAACGCCGCGUGAGUGAAGAAGGUUUUCGGAUCGUAAAGCUCUGGUGUAAGAGAAGAACGAGUGUGAGAGUGGAAAGUUCACACUGUGACGGUAUCUUACCAGAAAGGGACGGCUAACUACGUG